AUGAACGCUGGCGGCGUGCCUAAUACAUGCAAGUCGAGCGAACAGACGAGGAGCUUGCUCCUCUGACGUUAGCGGCGGACGGGUGAGUAACACGUGGAUAACCUACCUAUAAGACUGGGAUAACUUCGGGAAACCGGAGCUAAUACCGGAUAAUAUAUUGAACCGCAUGGUUCAAUAGUGAAGGACGGUUUUGCUGUCACUUAUAGAUGGAUCCGCGCCGCAUUAGCUAGUUGGUAAGGUAACGGCUUACCAAGGCAACGAUGCGUAGCCGACCUGAGAGGGUGAUCGGCCACACUGGAACUGAGACACGGUCCAGACUCCUACGGGAGGCAGCAGUAGGGAAUCUUCCGCAAUGGGCGAAAGCCUGACGGAGCAACGCCGCGUGAGUGAUGAAGGUCUUCGGAUCGUAAAACUCUGUUAUUAGGGAAGAACAAAUGUGUAAGUAACUAUGCACGUCUUGACGGUACCUAAUCAGAGAGCCACGGCUAACUACGUG
rnacentral:rRNA from 1 species